GAUCUUUCUCUCUCUUGCCGCCUCCCUCCUUUAUCUCUCUCUCUCUCUCUCUCUCUCUCUCGCCAUCUCCCUUCUUUAUCUCUCUCUCUCUCUCUCUCUUCUUAUUGUUCUUGCAUCUCUAAUUUCCGAUCUACGCGGUCUCUGUUCUCUCAUCUACACCCACCAAUUUUUUUUCAACCUUCCAUAUUUUACUUUCUAUGUCUCGGAUAUGCACUGUUUUUUUUUUCUUGUUUUUUUUUCCUUUAAACGUAUAUUGCUGGGAUUUAUUUUCUCGGAUAUCCACUUUUGUUGCUUUAAUCUAUUUAUGCUGGGAUUUAUUUUGUUGUUGGUUUGUGGUUCGAUUUUUUUGUUUCUUACUCGUUUGCUUUGAUGCUCAUUUUUUUGUUUAUUUUUUUUUCUGCGUUUAGAUCUGUGUUCUUAGUCUUGUAAUCUUUUCCAUUCAUGUUUAUUUUAUUUUUUUUUGUCUUGUUUGUUCUUUAAGGUCUGAACACAUCUUCAAAGAUCUGAAGAGAUCUAUUUUUGGCUUAUGUUCUUUCGGUAAUUUACAGAUCUUAAGAGAUCUGUUUGUUUUUCUCGUCCCUUCUGUAUUUUUCUUCUUGCACAAUGUUUUUUAAAAUGUUGCGUUCUGUUGAGAUUUGUGUUCUUAGUCUUUUUUUUUUUUUGCGAUCUGUAUUCGUAUGCUUAUUCUCUUUUCGAUUGAAGUUUUUUUUUUUUUUUGGUUUGAUUUCUUCUACUUUUUUUCUUCUGUGUUCUUCGGCUGUUCCUAGGGUUUUUAUAUUUGCGAUUGAAAUUUUUUUUCCAUGUGUUUUCUUUCUGGCACUUUUUUUUCAUCCUUGUGUUCCGAUUGAUUAUAUUAAGUUUGUAUUCUUCAGAUACACAGAACAAUUUUUUUUUUUUUUUGCUAUCUGUGUUCAUAUGCUGUUUUAUCUUUUCGAUUCAAGUUUUUUUUUUGUUGGGUUUGAUUUCUUCUACCUUUUUGUCUCUUGUUCUACAACGUUUGAUUUAUAUUACCUUUGUUGUUUGUGUUCUCAGUACAGACGAGCAAAUCAGAAGAUCGAAUAUGUAUGAUGUGGUUGAUUUUUUUGUUAGUGAGAAGAAGAAGAACAACAAAAAGAAGAAAUGAUAUGACACACCCAACUCCUACGUACGGAAAUACGAGAAUCAAGAUGUCAGGAUGAUGACAACACGGGCCACCCAUCCCAAUGAUAAGUGUCAAGUGUGUGUACAUGUAAAAAGUGUAUAACAAAAGCAAUGCAGCGAAUAAUUAAAGUCAGUCAA